GAUGAACGCUGGCGGCGUGCUUAACACAUGCAAGUCGAACGGGAAUUACUUUAUUGAAACUUCGGUCGAUUUAAUUUAAUUCUAGUGGCGGACGGGUGAGUAACGCGUGGGUAACCUGCCUUAUACAGGGGGAUAACAGUCAGAAAUGGCUGCUAAUACCGCAUAAGCGCACAGAGCUGCAUGGCUCGGUGUGAAAAAGUCCGGUGGUAUAAGAUGGACCCGCGUUGGAUUAGCUUGUUGGUGGGGUAACGGCCCACCAAGGCGACGAUCCAUAGACGGCCUGUGAGGGAGAACGGACACACUGGGAGUAAGCAGCGGUCCAGAAUCCUACGGGAAGCAGCAGUGGGGAAUAUAGCACAAUGGGGGGAGCCCUGAUGCAGCGACGCCGGGUGAAGGAAGAAGUAUCUCGGUAUGUAAAGUUCUAUAAGAAGGGAAGAUAGUGACGGUACCUGACGAAGAAGCACCGGCUAACUACGUG
rnacentral:rRNA from 1 species